CCUACGGGAGGCAGCAGUGGGGAAUAUUGCACAAUGGGGGAAACCCUGAUGCAGCGACGCCGCGUGAGUGAAGAAGUAUUUCGGUAUGUAAAGCCCUAGCAGCAGGGAAGAAAGUGACGGUACCUGACUAAGAAGCCCCGGCUAACUACGUGCCAGCAGCCGCGGGAAUACGUAGGGGGCAAGCGGUAUCCGGAUUUACGGGGGGGAAGGGGAGCGUAGACGGCAGAGCAAUUCUGAAGUGAAAGCCUGCGGCCCAACUGCGGGAGUGCUUUGGAAACUGCCCGGCUAGAGUGCUGGAGAGGUAAGCGGAACUCCUAGUGUAGCGGUGAAAUGCGUAGAUAUUAGGAGGAACACCAGUGGCGAAGGCGGCUUACUGGACAGUAACUGACGUUGAGGCUCGAAAGCGUGGGGAGCAAACAGGAUUAGAUACCCUAGUAGUC
rnacentral:rRNA from 1 species